rnacentral:rRNA from 1 species
UACGGAGGAUGCAAGUGUUAUCCGGAAUCACUGGGCGUAAAGCGUCUGUAGGUGGUUGGACAAGUCAACUGUUAAAUCUUGAGGCUCAACCUCAAAAUCGCAGUCGAAACUGUUUGACUAGAGUAUAGUAGGGGUAAAGGGAAUUUCCAGUGGAGCGGUGAAAUGCGUAGAGAUUGGAAAGAACACCGAUGGCGAAAGCACUUUACUGGGCUAUUACUAACACUCAGAGACGAAAGCUAGGGUAGCAAAUGGG